rnacentral:misc_RNA from 1 species
AAGUCGUAACAAGGUUUCCGUAGGUGAACCUGCGGAAGGAUCAUUAUUGAAUAUUUGAAGGGGUUGUUUGCUGGUCCCUAGCGGGAUAUCGUGCACGCCCCGUUCAAAAAUCCAACCUUCAUACCCCUGUGCAUCAUUUGUAGGGUUGCGGCCGUCAGGCCUGCGCUCUAUGUUUAUCACAAACUCUGUAGUAUGUGUAGAAUGACAUCGCGUAUAACGCAUCUAUAUACAA